rnacentral:rRNA from 1 species
GACGAACGCUGGCGGCGUGCUUAACACAUGCAAGUCGAACGGAAAGGCCCUGCUUUUGUGGGGUGCUCGAGUGGCGAACGGGUGAGUAACACGUGAGUAACCUGCCCUUGACUUUGGGAUAACUUUAGGAAACUGGGGCUAAUACCGGAUAGGAGCUCCUGCUGCAUGGUGGGGGUUGGAAAGUUUCGGCGGUUGGGGAUGGACUCGCGGCUUAUCAGCUUGUUGGUGGGGUAGUGGCUUACCAAGGCUUUGACGGGUAGCCGGCCUGAGAGGGUGACCGGCCACAUUGGGACUGAGAUACGGCCCAGACUCCUACGGGAGGCAGCAGUGGGGAAUAUUGCACAAUGGGCGGAAGCCUGAUGCAGCAACGCCGCGUGCGGUAUGACGGCCUUCGGGUUGUAAACCGCUUUCGCCUGUGACGAAGCGUGAGUGACGGUAAUGGGUAAAGAAGCACCGGCUAACUACGUG